AGAGUUUGAUCCUGGCUCAGGAUGAACGCUGGCGGCGUGCCUAAUACAUGCAAGUCGAGCGAACAGAUAAGGAGCUUGCUCCUUUGACGUUAGCGGCGGACGGGUGAGUAACACGUGGGUAACCUACCUAUAAGACUGGAAUAACUCCGGAAACCGGGGCUAAUGCCGGAUAAUAUUUAGAACCGCAUGGUUCUAAAGUGAAAGAUGGUUUUGCUAUCACUUAUAGAUGGACCCGCGCCGUAUUAGCUAGUUGGUGGGGUAAUGGCUUACCAAGGCAACGAUACGUAGCCGACCUGAGAGGGUGAUCGGCCACACUGGAACUGAGACACGGUCCAGACUCCUACGGGAGGCAGCAGUAGGGAAUCUUCCGCAAUGGGCGAAAGCCUGACGGAGCAACGCCGCGUGAGUGAUGAAGGUCUUCGGAUCGUAAAACUCCGUUAUUAGGGAAGAACAAAUGUGUAAGUAACUGUGCACGUCUUGACGGUACCUAAUCAGAAAGCCACGGCUAACUACGUG
rnacentral:rRNA from 1 species